UUAGCUGCGGGCGCGGUCAACGUCAAGGGCGGCGGCGGCCAGCGCAGGCAUGAGUCAUGUCCUGCCCGCUUUGCAGAGGAGGGGAGGGUCCACGGCUGGAAACGCUGAUGCCACGCAGCCUCGCCGAGGAGGGGACAGGCAGAGUUUCCCGGCCUCUGAAAUGGGGGUAAUGAUGCCGCGCCCAGAAGGACGCAGGAGGCCCCAGUGCAGUGCCCCGAGCAGAGGGGUUCCGUUCUCCUUCCCUCCCCGUCCCCGGGUCUGAUGCCCGGCUGCAAUUCUCAGGAGGGAGGCAGAGGGAGAUUUGCCCACAGAGGAGAAAAGGUGAAGUGACAGCCUCAGCAGAGGAACACUUGAAGAGCUCGGCUGCUGGCUACGAGGAUGGAGGAAGCAGCCACUCGGAAUGCGGCAGCCUCUAGAAGGCAAGGAAAUGGAUUCUGUCUGACAGCCUCUGGAGGGACCGACCCCUUGGUUUCGGCUCAAUGAAACUGACUUCAGACUUUCAACCUCCAGAACUACAAGAAAAUAAACAUCUGUUGUUUUCAGCCACCAGGUUUGUAGCAAUUUGUCACAGCAGCUGCUGGAAACUAAUACAGCAGCUUUCACCAUCCCAAGCUAGAAGGGCUGGAUGGCUAUUUGUGCCCAGAUGCAGUGCUGGGCUAAAUUAGAAUUUCUGCAGGUGGAGCCCAGAGAGGGGCCAGGGACCAUCCACCGGGGAGAAGCAGGGUUUCCGGGAGCUGGAGGGGCUCGAAGGCACAGCCACUCCACACACAGCCUCCCCAGCGCUUGCUCCCUGGACCUAGGCCACCUGUCACUCAUCCGCCCCCUGCAGGGCAGGGGCGCUCACAGGCAGGGGGCCCGGCUGACCGCCCUGAACGCAUCCCCACCAGGUUCGCCCCAGCACCCGCUACCCGCCAGGCCCUGCAGACACAGAGAGGGCAAGAUGUGGUCCCACCCCAGACCCAGGAGGAAUUCCAGCACCCAGCCUUGAAGCACUGGGAUGGGGGCCCACACGGGGGCUGCGGGAGACCAGAGGAAGGAGGGAGCGGAGACAUCUGAGCCAGCUCCCCCCUCUCAGGGAGAUACCCCGGGGGGCAUGUUCUGCAUGGUCCCCGGAGUUCCCCAGUGGGGCUGAGCCCCUGUCGCCCCCAGAGGCAACCUGUUGAUGAACACACCCAGCAAUGGCCUCUCUCCCUCCCUGCCUGGCUUCCCCAGACCUCGAGUCUUUCCCGGGAACACCUCCCAAUCACACUACUUGCGCUCGAAUCACUGUCUCAGGGUCACUCGCGGAACCCCCAUCCAAGCAGGUGAGGUAUUCCACAUAGAAGACAGGAGGUGAGGCGAGGCCCACGACACAAGAGAAGAUGUCAACACCAUCAUCUACACCCUUUAUCACCACCACCACCACCCCAACCAAGGGUCAGGCAUUGCUUAAACACUUCUCGUGUAUUAUCUCAUCCUCCUGUUAGUGGAGGAAGGUGCUAUUAUCAUCCUCUUUUACAGUUGGGGAAACUGAGGCACAGAGAGGGGAAGUCUUCCUAAGAAUCUAAAAUGGCUCACACUGUCAUCUCUGGGGCCUCACCAUCCAUCUCUCUCCUUUACUCAUUAGGCUUCAGCCACACAAACUUUUCUGUUCCUUGUACUUGCCACCACCCUCCCCUGCCAGCUCGUUCCUACCUCAGGACCUUUGCCCAUGCCGUUCCCACUGCCUGGAAGGAGGGGCUGCCGCCUCCUCCACCCUCAGUUCUCUGCUUAAGUGGCAUUUCUCCAAAGGGCCCUUGCCUGAGCACCAAACAGGAGUGCCUCUCUCACCUCCCUGCUAUAUUCUCUGCACAACCCUUUUCACAGACAAAAUUCUCUCCUUUAUUGGUUCACAUGCUUUAUUAUCUGUUUCGAACAGAAGCUGGCAAACUUUGGGCCACAGGCCAAAUCUGGCCCACCUCCUGCUUUUGUAGGGCCUGAGAGGUAAGGAUGGUUUUGCAUUUUUAAAUCAUCGAAAAAAAAUCAAAACGACACAGGAAAAUGAUAUGAAAAUCAAAUUUCAGCGUCCAUAAAUCAAAUCUGAUAGGAGCACAGCUGUGCCCACUCGGUGACAUAGUCUGUCUGUCUGUCUGCACGGAAAUCUGUGGUCUGCUGUCGUGAUGGGGUCUUAUGGUCUGAAAAGCUGAGAGUAUUUGCUAUUUGGUCCUUUAUGGGAGAAGCUGGCCGGCCGACCCCUGCCCUAGGACUCGCGGCCUUGUCUGUCACUUCUGGGGGGGGGGGUUCCUGGGGCCUGAAGAGAGCCAGGCCCAUAGCAGGUGCUCAAAUAACAACGGGGGAGGAGAAGAGGGGAGGUGAGGGGGUGAUUAACACAAGGUCCCGCCCCCCAGUCGGGGACUGAGUAUCACCUAGGUUUGCAAUGGGUGGAUGGAUGCAUGAAUGAAUGAAUGAAUGAAUGAAUGAAAUGAACAUACAAACGUCAAAGGGAAGCCACAGUUGUCAUCCCUUAGGGUGGCCCAAAGUCCCAAAGCAGAGUUUGACAUCCCCUGGGGGGGGGGGGGUGGGUUGUCCCCCAACCGCACAGCCCGGCCUUGACAUUCUGUGGGCCCGGAGCUCUAAAGAGAGGAUGUGAUUCACUCCACCAGGAGAGGAAGGAAGGAAACCAGCCCUCGGCUCCAGAGCCAAAUUUAACUCCUCUCCUCCAAGAACCCUCCUCCCCAAACACGCACACGCUCGAGCUCGCACACGCACGCGCACGCGCGCACACACACAGCAUCUCUCCACCUUGCCGGGUGAGGAGUCCAUCCUGGCAGCGUGGCGGGGGGAGGGCAUCCGCAGCUACUG